rnacentral:lncRNA from 13 species
UCUCCAAUGAACCCUCCUGGGUUCGAUAAAAUGGAGGAAAUGGAUAAUCUCAUUGUUAAAAGUAUCUAACAAGGGCAUAUAUGUUUCUUUUGUAUUGACAGACCUACUCUGGGCUGUUCUGUGUGACUCUGUGAACCCUUAUAAGUGGCUCCCGGUCUGUAACCCAGAGGUGGUGAGCGCCUACAGAGGGAAGAAGAGGAUAGAGGUUCCACCUCCUAUUUUCGCCCUCUCUGAUAAUGCCUAUCGGCUCAUGCUAACAGAUCGGGAACAUCAGUCUAUCCUAAUCACUGGAGAAUCCGGUGCAGGCAAGACUGUAAACACCAAACGUGUCAUCCAGUACUUUGCGACAAUCGCAGUGUCUGCGGACCAGAAAAAAGAGCCAGUCAGCAAGAUGAAGGUAAGUUUAUACCUUUUGUAGUGGCUUUGACUGUACAGAAAUGGGAUUUGUCUGGUGAUGUACAGGAAUGGGAUUUGUCUGGUGAUGUACAGGAAUGGGCUUUGUCUGGUGAUGUACAGGAAUGGGCUUUGUCUGGUGAUGUACAGGAAUGGGCUUUGACUGGUGAUGUACAGGAAUGGGCUUUGUCUGGUGAUGUACAGGAAUGGGCUUUGACUGGUGAUGUACAUGAAUGGGCUUUGACUGGUGAUGUACAGGAAUGGGCUUUAUCUGGUGAUGUACAGGAAUGGGCUUUAUCUGGUGAUGUACAGGAAUGGGCUUAA